rnacentral:rRNA from 1 species
UACGUAGGCAGCGAGCGUUGUUCGGAGUUACUGGGCGUAAAGGGUGCGUAGGCGGCCCUGUAAGUAUGGUGUGAAAUCUCCCGGCUUAACUGGGAGGGUGCGCUAUAGACUGCGGGGCUCGAGUGUGGGAGAGGAAAGUGGAAUUCCUGGUGUAGCGGUGAAAUGCGUAGAUAUCAGGAGGAACACCUGCGGUGUAGACGGCUUUCUGGACCAUUGCUGACGCUGAGACACGAAAGCGUGGGUAGCAAACAGG